GAUUGCAGGCUGCAACUCGCCUGCAUGAAGCCGGAAUCGCUAGUAAUCGCGGAUCAGCACGCCGCGGUGAAUACGUUCCCGGGCCUUGUACACACCGCCCGUCACACCACGAGAGUUUGUAACACCCGAAGUCGGUGAGGUAACCUUUUUGGAGCCAGCCGCCUAAGGUGGGAUAGAUGAUUGGGGUGAAGUCGUAACAAGGUAGCCGUAUCGGAAGGUGCGGCUGGAUCACCUCCUUU
rnacentral:rRNA from 1 species